CCGUGUCACUUCAUCUGACAAGGCAUUUUCUCCUUUACUUUGGGAAUUCAUUUGAAAGAAUUGAAGCUCACAAAUUAAGUCACAGUUUCCCACUUAAUAGAAUAGUUUUAUGACAAAGAAUAAAAUUUUAUGAAUUACAGAUUGUCAUGAUUAGAUUAGGGGUCUGUUAAGCGUUUACUCAGCCCUAUGGAGACGUGCCCCUAAUUCAAAUAAUCAUAGGGACCCUCUGUGAGGGCUUACUACAUAUUAGACAAUUUAGAUACAGUAAUCUCAUUUAGUCUCCUCUACAAUGGCAUAAGGCAGGCACUUCUAUUAUUACAUAUUACAGACGAGGAAACUGAGGUCUGGAGAGACAAUAUUUGUGGGAGUCACUCAGUAAAAGGGAGAGCAAAAUUUGAAGCCAGAUAUAUUUGCCUCCAAAAACGUGGCUCUUUCUGCUACAGAAUCCUGGUGGGUAAGUGAUAGGCAGAUCCUUUGCUAUUCACCAGGUUAACCUAGAGCCAUAUAGACCAGAAUUCACCAGCCUGCUGGUUAAACUUGGCCCACGGUAUAUUUUCUUCGAUGAGCUUGAACUUGCAUUUCUCCUUUUGGUUUGAACACUUCUGAUAGAGCAUGCAGGCUCUGCUUUUGUACUUUUCCCACUGUGGACCUCUGCCUCCCAAGCAGGAAGACCCCACAGCCUCUCAGCCAAAACCCGUAGCCUCUGGCUGGGGGCCUCACUCAUUCAUCUGCUCCACCCUGCAGGCCUGUGAGUUCCCUAGACUCUCUCAUUUCAUGGGGCUGGGAUUGCCACAGUGUCACUCAGCAAGGCAGUGGCCAAGCAGGACUUGAGGCCAUGCUUUCAGCCCCUCAGGGGCCCACCUCUCCCUAGCAUCAGUGCCCCCACCUACGUGACUAUGGCCUGCCACCCUGCCUCUACACACCCCCACCCAUCAGUUUGACCUCAUUUCAGGUCAGGGCUGGUCUCUCCAAGGUGAGCCCCCUGGCAGCAGCUCGUCUGGGGUGCGCGGGACAUUGGCGGAAGGCACGGAUUUGUUGGAACAAAGAACUGGCUUUUUAAUCAUGCAGUUCAGACAGGCCCCUGCCCGCCGGCCAGUGGAGAGGGAGCCUCCUGGGGCUGCCUGGCAGACGCCCUGAUUUCCACUCCUUCAAGUGGCCAUUUGGAAAAGAAAGGAACCAGCCAGUAAUCAGGCAUGAAGGAGGGAAACCCUCCAGGAAACCGUGUUCCCCAGCCUAGCUCCGGGGCUGGCAUGGGGUGGGAGGAGGUUCAGACCACACAGCUUGAGGGAAUGAAGAGUCUGCCUCUUCUGGACCCUAG
ensembl:lncRNA